rnacentral:rRNA from 1 species
GAUGAACGCUGGCGGCGUGCCUAAUACAUGCAAGUCGAGCGAACAGACGAGGAGCUUGCUCCUCUGACGUUAGCGGCGGACGGGUGAGUAACACGUGGAUAACCUACCUAUAAGACUGGGAUAACUUCGGGAAACCGGAGCUAAUACCGGAUGAUAUAUUGAACCGCAUGGUUCAAUAGUGAAAGACGGUCUUGCUGUCACUUAUAGAUGGAUCCGCGCCGCAUUAGCUAGUUGGUAAGGUAACGGCUUACCAAGGCAACGAUGCAUAGCCGACCUGAGAGGGUGAUCGGCCACACUGGAACUGAGACACGGUCCAGACUCCUACGGGAGGCAGCAGUAGGGAAUCUUCCGCAAUGGGCGAAAGCCUGACGGAGCAACGCCGCGUGAGUGAUGAAGGUCUUCGGAUCGUAAAACUCUGUUAUUAGGGAAGAACAAAUGUGUAAGUAACUGUGCACAUCUUGACGGUACCUAAUCAGAAAGCCACGGCUAACUACGUG